rnacentral:rRNA from 1 species
AUACGGAGGAUCCGAGCGUUAUCCGGAUUUAUUGGGUUUAAAGGGUGCGCAGGCGGCCAUUUAAGUCAGCGGUUAAAUCGUUGGGCUCAACCCCAUUCUGCCGUUGAUACUGGGUGGCUUGAUUGCGGUCGAGGUUGGCGGAAUUCGUUGUGUAGCGGUGAAAUGCAUAGAUAUGACGAAGAACACCGAUUGCGUAGGCAGCUGACCAGACCGCAAAUGACGCUCAUGCACGAAAGUGCGGGGAUCGAACAGGAUUAGAUACCCUGGUAGUCCGCACAGUAAACGAUGAAUACUUGUUUUCGGCGAUAUAAUGUCGGAGGCAAAGCGAAAGCGAUAAGUAUUCCACCUGGGGAGUACGCCGGCAACGGUGAAACUCAAAUGAAUUGGCGGGG